rnacentral:rRNA from 1 species
GAUGAACGCUGGCGGCGUGCCUAAUACAUGCAAGUCGAGCGAACAGAUAAGGAGCUUGCUCCUUUGACGUUAGCGGCGGACGGGUGAGUAACACGUGGGUAACCUACCUAUAAGACUGGAAUAACUCCGGGAAACCGGGGCUAAUGCCGGAUAACAUUUAGAACCGCAUGGUUCUAAAGUGAAAGAUGGUUUUGCUAUCACUUAUAGAUGGACCCGCGCCGUAUUAGCUAGUUGGUAAGGUAACGGCUUACCAAGGCAACGAUACGUAGCCGACCUGAGAGGGUGAACGGCUAGCCUGUAACUGAGACACGGUAGCGACUUCGAGGCGAGGAAGCAGUCGGGAAUCUUCCGCGAGGGGGGAGAGGCUGACGGAGCAACGCCGCGUGAGUGAUGAAGGUCUUCGGCUCGGAGAACGCUGUUAGUAGGGAAGUAGAAAUGUGUAUGUAACUGUGAACGUAUUGACGGUACCUGAUCAGAAAGCCACGGCUAACUACGUG